AAGACUAUAGACCUGCGGAGUACCUGCGGAGGGAUCAUUAAAGAGUUUAACUACUCAAACCAUUGUGAACCUUACCUCAACCGUUGCUUCGGCGGGCGGGCCCGGGCCAAGCCCGGCGCCCCCCCGGCCCCUCGCGGGCGCCCGCCGGAGGUUAACCGAACCCUUGAAUUGUAUGGCCUCUCUGAGUCUUCUGUACUGAAUAAGUCAAAACUUUUAGCAACGGAUCUCUAGAUCGGAAGA
rnacentral:misc_RNA from 1 species